ACAGACUAAUAGCACGAAGUUUCCAUGUUAACGAACGUUUACAAACCAAUUUGUAAAUAUUAUAUUUAUAUACAGUGACUGUUAUUAAUAUUGGAAUACCAUAUAGGAACAUAGUCAGCCAUUGAUUAGAAAUCAGGAUAUGUUUGAGGGCAAAGAUGAAUGAUGAUGCGAUUCGAGCAUGAGAAAAUAGAAGAAUCCAGUGGCGUGACAUGACGCGGCGCAACCACCAGCCACCGGGUUUCUCGUUUUAAUUCAAUCGACCGGCGGCACACGCAAAAGGGAAGCGGGAAAUACAGACAGAAGCCUUUUCAAAACGUCGAAUUUAAACCGUUUUAUUGCAGGUCCGGUUUCGGCUAUCAUUGUCCAUGGUGCGAAACGUUAUAAACACAAAUUUUUCACUUUUUGUUUCCCAAGGAUACUUCAUCAUCGCGAUUAUGUGUUAUGUUGCAUCGACGAGACGAAAAAGAAGGAAAAUUGAGAACAAAUAAACGAAUAAAUAAAUUAAUAAAAGGGAGGCAAAAAUGGCGAUUUGGUUUCUAAACGGACCUUUAAAAGGGUAGCCUUUUAAGUAGACCCGGAAUGGAGGAGCUUUAUUUACCAUUGUUUGCGGCUCGAGGGUGCUGUACCGAGGCCUCUGUCGACGAAGACACGUUGCCAGCAUUGUCUAAAACGCCUGCUGGUUUCGUCGGAUCAUUGUCCUCGGUUAACAUAUCACU